rnacentral:lncRNA from 1 species
CACAUUGAGCUUUAAUUUAGGCUUGAACUUAUUUUUGAGAGAUAGGUAGCACGUUACCCGCUUCGUUUAUUUCAUUUAGAAAUAAACUUAGCUGAAAAUGUGAAUCAACUAAAAUUCGAACUUGGGUCUCGGGUACCAACCACCAAGAAUUCGAACUUGGGUAUCGGGUACCAACCAUCAAGCCCUUUGCCACUUGCUCUAGGGACGGUCGGUCUUUAGGCUUAAACUUAUUUUCAAAUUUUGCUUGAACACUCGCCAAAUGUAUA